rnacentral:rRNA from 1 species
GAUGAACGCUAGCUACAGGCUUAACACAUGCAAGUCGAGGGGAAACGAUGAGAGAGCUUGCUCUCUUAGGCGUCGACCGGCGCACGGGUGAGUAACGCGUAUCCAACCUACCCAUUACAGGGGGAUAACCUUGCGAAAGUAAGACUAAUACCCCAUGGCAUUUUAUGGUAGCAUCAUUAUAGGAUUAAAGAUUUAUUGGUAAUGGAUGGGGAUGCGUCUGAUUAGCUUGUUGGCGGGGUAACGGCCCACCAAGGCAACGAUCAGUAGGGGUUCUGAGAGGAAGGUCCCCCACAUUGGAACUGAGACACGGUCCAAACUCCUACGGGAGGCAGCAGUGAGGAAUAUUGGUCAAUGGGCGAGAGCUUGAACCAGCCAAGUAGCGUGCAGGAUGACGGCCCUAUGGGUUGUAAACUGCCUUUAUAGGGGAAUAAAGUGAGCUACGUGUAGUUUAUUGCAUGUACCCUAUGAAUAAGGACCGGCUAAUUCCGUG